UACGAAGGUGGCAAGCGUUACUCGGAAUUACUAGGCGUAAAGGGCAGGUAGGUGGUUUGGUUAGUCUGUUGUGAAAGCUCCUUGCUCAACGGGGGAGAGGUCAACAGAUACUGCCAGACUUGAGUAUGGGGAGAGGUUACUGGAAUUCCUGGUGUAGCGGUGAAAUGCGCAGAGAUCAGGAGGAACACCGAUGGCGAAAGCAGGUAACUGGACCAUUACUGACACUCAGCUGCGAAAGCUAGGGGAGCAAACAGG
rnacentral:rRNA from 1 species